rnacentral:rRNA from 1 species
GAUUGCAGCCUGCAACUCGGCUGCAUGAAGCUGGAAUCGCUAGUAAUCGCGGAUCAGAAACGCCGCGGUGAAUGCGUUCCCGGGUCUUGUACACACCGCCCGUCACACCAUGGGAGCCGGAAACGCCCGAAGCCAGCGGCCUAACCGCAAGGAGGGAGCUGUCGAAGGCGGGGCCGGUGACCGGGGUGAAGUCGUAACAAGGUACC